rnacentral:rRNA from 1 species
UACCGUAUACGUCUUCGGGAGAAAGAUUUAUCGGUUGAUGGAUGAGCCCGCUGUGGAUUAGCUAGUUGGUGGGGUAAUGGCCUACCAAGGCGACGAUCCAUAGCUGGUCUGAGAGGAUGAUCAACCGCACAUGGGACUGAGACACGGCCAGAUCUACGGAGGCAGCAGCGGAAUAUUGACAU